CAUCAUCGCCGCAUCGGCCAACAGGGAGGCCGAGGACUCCAAAUUUGGCGACCCCAGCCUCCCCGCUGGUGGAUCCGACUAGCCGG
rnacentral:pre_miRNA from 1 species